UACGGAGGGUGCGAGCGUUAAUCGGAAUUACUGGGCGUAAAGCGUGCGCAGGCGGAUAUGUAAGACAGGUGUGGAAUCCCCGGGCUUAACCUGGGAACUGCACUUGAGACUGCACAGCUGGAGUGCGGUAGCAGGGUACGGAAUUCCGCGUGUAGCGGUGAAAUGCGUAGAUAUGUGGAGGAACACCGAUGGCGAAGGCUGUCCACUAGGCCUGUACUGACGCUCAGUCACGAAAGCGUGGGGAGCAUACAGG
rnacentral:rRNA from 1 species